rnacentral:rRNA from 1 species
AUGGGUUCAUGGCCGUGGCGCGGCGCAUGGACCGCGCUGGUGCGAUGUGGCCACGCCACCUACACCGCGCCGGUCCUUCCCCGUGGGCGCAUCUUCACGAAGCAAGUGGUAGGACGAGUCGCCGACGGCUCGGGGUUCAUGGCGGACCUGUCGACUCUCAAGGUACACUCCAAGCUGGUGAGCCGCGCGGGGGCGCCCGUGCCGGCGAAUGGUCCGAGUGAGAUCCGGCUGGUGGAGGCGGCGGUCGCGGCGAGGUGCGGCUACAAGUGUCCUACUUGGUUGCGACGGUACGCCGCUUCGAUCACGCUGGCUAGGAGGGACCAGAUCCAGUACGAGGAGACCAAGCCAUGGAGGAGCGCGGAGGUGGCCGUGAAUCUAGGAGGAGGUGGCGGGGACAGGGCGCCGUACAACUGCCCGGCGAUGAUACGCGCAUCCGAAGAGGUUGAGGUGCUGUUUGAGGAUGUCUUUGGUCAUGCGUUUGAUGGAGUGAAGGUGCUACUUCAGGAUUCUUUUGUUUCCGCAUCUGAUAGCAAGGGCCCCAAGAAUAAUCUGAAGUGUAGAUCAUUUAUUGUUUAUACUCCUUGCUCACCUUCAAGGUUUCUACCUGAGAAGUUUGGAGGCAACUCACAUGGAUUUCAUUACAUUGGUAACUUUGCUGAUGCUACAGUUAUGAAUGUUGAACUUUGUUGUGAGAAGCAAUUCAAUAAGUUGGACCUAGGGCCUCCAAAUUUUGACAGCAUCUGUGGAAUUAUACUGGCACAAAAGGAUAUGGUGUUGGAUCUUUCGGAUGCUAGCAAGGGGAGCAUCAAAUGCAUUCACUUUACCGUUCCGAAGUUACAAGUUCAUGAUCCUUUGAUAUCCAUUCUAAUGUAUCAGAGAAAACUGCUGAACAAGAUGUUCUCUUCACGCCAUGUCUUAUCUCAGUUGCAAUAUUAUAGAUUUUUUUCAUCAAGGAAGCUGAGAAAUGCAAUGAAUCAAAUCGAAGAUUUGAAGGCAAGGAACAUAGCCAUUCUGUGUUUGGAUGAUGGUUUCAAAGAAGUCUUAUUAAGCUUCAAAAGUGUAAUAGCGCAAAUGCGCCAGAAUUCUUAUGAUUAUGGCAAACGUGUUGAUCUCUCCAAGCGUUAUGGACCUGGCUGCAAGGUGUACACAGCAGGAGGAGCUGGCGCAUCCAUGUAA